rnacentral:other from 1 species
GUUGUAAUUUACUUUCAAAUUAGUAUCUUUGAGCCAUUGGGAGCAGC